rnacentral:rRNA from 1 species
GGACUACCGGGGUAUCUAAUCCUGUUUGCUCCCCUAGCUUUCGCAGCUCAGCGUCAGUGAUGGCCCAGUAACCUGCUUUCGCCUUAGGUAUUCCUCCCGAUAUCUACGCAUUUCACCGCUACACCGGGAAUUCCAGUUACCCCUACCACACUCUAGCCAGACAGUUUCCGUUGACCUCUCCCAGUUAAGCCGGGAGCUUUCACAACAGACUUAUCCGACCGCCUACCUGCGCUUUACGCCUAGUGAUUCCGAGUAACGCUUGCCACCUACGUAUUACCGCGGCGGCUGGCAC